rnacentral:rRNA from 1 species
CCCUUAGAUGUUCUGGGCCGCACGCGCGCUACACUGAUGCAUUCAACGAGUUUUUCCUGGUCCGAGAGGAAUGGGUAACCUUUUGAAAGUGCAUCGUGAUAGGGAUAGACUAUUGCAAUUAUUGGUCUUCAACGAGGAAUUCCUAGUAGACGUAGUUCAUCAGACUGCAUCGAUUACGUCCCUGCCCUUUGUACACACCGCCCGUCGCUCCUACCGAUUGAAUGCUCAGGUGAGCCAUUCGGACUUUCAUCAUGCUGGUUUCCAGUUUUGAUGAAGGAAAGUCUUGCGAACCUUAUCAUUUAGAGGAAGGAGAAGUCGUAACA